GACGAACGCUGACGGUGUGCUUUAGACAUGCAAGUCGAACGCGAAAGCCCUUCGGGGUUAGUAGAGUGGCGAACGGGUGAGUAACACGUGGGCAAUCUGCCCCUCGCAGGGGGACAACCGGAGGAAACUACCGGCUAAUACCCGUACGCUUGUGGGACCGCAUGGUUCCGCAAGGAAAGGUAGCUUCGGCCAUCCGGCGAGGGAUGAGCCCGCGGUGCAUUAGCUAGUUGGUGAGGUAACGGCUCACCAAGGCAACGAUGCAUAGCUGGUCUGAGAGGAUGAUCAGCCACACUGGGACUGAGACACGGCCAGACUCCUACGGGAGGCAGCAGUCGGGAAUCUUGCGCAAUGGGCGAAAGCCUGACGCAGCAACACCGUGUGAGCGACG
rnacentral:rRNA from 1 species